CCUACGGGUGGCUGCAGUGGGGAAUAUUGCACAAUGGAGGAAACCCUGAAGCAGCGACGCCGCGUGCGUGAUGACGUAUCUCGGUAUGUUAAGCUCUAUCAGUACGGGAGAUAACUACGUUACCUGACUAAUAUGCCCCGGAUAACUUCGUGCCAGCACCGGCGGUAAUACGUAAGCGGCAUCCGUUAUCCGGAUUUACUGGGUGUAAAGGGAGCGUAGGUGGUGGAGUAGGUGAGUUGUGAAAGCCCGGGGCUCAAUCUCGGGAGUGCAUUGGGAACUGUUCAGCUGGAGUGCAGGGGAGGUAGGCGGAAUUCGUGGUGUAGCGGUGAAAUGCAUAGAUAUUACGAGGAACACCAAUGGCGAAGGCGGCUUACUGGACUGUUACUGACGCUGAGGCUCGAAAGCGUGGGGAGCGAACAGGAUUAGAUACCCCUGUAGUC
rnacentral:rRNA from 1 species